AGUGAACGCUGGCGGUAGGCCUAACACAUGCAAGUCGAACGGCAGCACAGUAAGAGCUUGCUCUUACGGGUGGCGAGUGGCGGACGGGUGAGGAAUACAUCGGAAUCUACUUUUUCGUGGGGGAUAACGUAGGGAAACUUACGCUAAUACCGCAUACGACCUACGGGUGAAAGCAGGGGAUCUUCGGACCUUGCGCGAUUGAAUGAGCCGAUGUCGGAUUAGCUAGUUGGCGGGGUAAAGGCCCACCAAGGCGACGAUCCGUAGCUGGUCUGAGAGGAUGAUCAGCCACACUGGAACUGAGACACGGUCCAGACUCCUACGGGAGGCAGCAGUGGGGAAUAUUGGACAAUGGGCGUAAGCCUGAUCCAGCCAUACCGCGUGGGUGAAGAAGGCCUUCGGGUUGUAAAGCCCUUUUGUUGGGAAAGAAAAGCAGCAGGUUAAUACCCCGCUGUUCUGACGGUACCCAAAGAAUAAGUACCGGCUAACUUCGUG
rnacentral:rRNA from 1 species